CUGUAUAAAUAUGAGAUGCUGAAUAAAGUUGGUGUCAGACUGCGUCCCUUCGUGGAGACGUGUCUGAACCUCUCGACCCUAUCUUUGUUGUAGAUUUCUCUUGCUUUAGUUUCUUUUCUCAGCCCCGCCGUGCACGUUCUCAGGACCUGAUCAACUGCCGGCUGGCACCGGCAGGUGGCGCCCGAACAGGGACUCGGGAAUCGGAGCGCGAGGACGGCCGCUGCCCACCAAGAUUGAGGAUGCCGAAGCGCCGCGCUGGCUGCCGGAAAGAUAUUUUAAUUCAACAGGAUGUCUUUUUGUUGGGGAGUCAGGAUAUGCUGAUCAUGACAAUGGUUGGAGCCUAUACAUUCCUGGAGUAACGAAAGAAUCUGGAAUUCCUCAACGCCGUAAUGGAACUGGUCCUUUAGAUAUCCCUUUCUGCGACUUUGGGACAAGGUGAACAGUCACUGCUGCACCAUGGAAACUGUGUCGAGAUGGAACUGCUACGGUUUAUAACAUAUUUGGGACAAAUGAGUCAUUGUGAGACUGGUCUCCAGACUCGGCCCGAAACCCUGGAGCUCAGGACAAUAGGAACUUUGCAUCCCGUAUUUGGAACUUGGGCGGCUCUAAAGUGUUCCAAACUGAAAUCUGGAAAUUAGCUGCUGCCCUUGGAUGUGAGGGUUCCUACCUUCAGGUGGGAUCGAAAGUGAGACACGGUUAUUUAUGGAAUCUCACCAUGAGGUACCCUCGUGCAUGUGUGCCUCACCCUUAUGCUUUACUAGUAGGAUCUGUAAACAUACAACCUGGGUUACGAAAUUAUGAUGUAACUUGUAACAAUUGUACCUUAACUAACUGCAUUAGGGGAAUUCUAAUCAAACUAGGGUUCUAGUCUUAAGACAGCCUGUUUUUGUUAUGGUUCCUGUAAAGAUCAAUGGGUCUUGGUAUGAUGAAAGAGGACUUGAACUUUGGAGAGAAGUAGAGGGUGCUUUAAUGCGUUAUCGUAGGGGAAUAGGGUUAGUAAUUCUGGGAUUUGUAGCUUUGGUAACCCUUAUUGCUUCCUCCAUUACUGCAGCCUUGACCCUGGCACACUCAGUGCAAACUGCAACUUUUGUUAAUAAUCUGGCACAAAAUGUAUCCGUUACCCUGGGGACUCAAGAAGAUAUUGACAAAAAGCUAGAAGAUCGAUUGAAUGCCCUUUAUGAUGUUGUAAAAUUUUUAGGUAAAGAGGUUCAAAGUAUAAAGUUGAGAUUACGGGUACAAUGUCUGCUGAUUUUCGAUGGAUCUGUGUUACCCCAAAAAACUAUAAUGGUAGUAUAACUGCUUGGGAUAAGGUGAAAGCUCAUUUAGAAGGUAUUUGGCAUAAUGAAAAUAUUUCCUUAGAUUUACUGCAUCUACAUCAAGAAAUAAUGAGCAUUGAAAAUGCACCUAGACCUGAUUUGGAUGUUGCAAAAAGAGCUGAGUCUUUUGUUAAAAAACUUUUUCGACAUGUACCUACCGUCAAUAGUAUUUGGUACUUGGGAGUGGCCAUAGGAGGACUAUUCUUAAUAAUUUUAACUGUUUUAUUUCUUGCACCUUGUUUAAUUAAAAAACUGAUUGAUGAUCUAUGGAUGAUAAAGGCUUCCAUCUAUGAAAACGGUCUGCGGUUGAAGGAACAUAAGCGUGCGCCUAUA